UACGUAGGUGGCAAGCGUUGUCCGGAUUUACUGGGCGUAAAGAGCGCGCAGGCGGUCGUUCAAGUCGCGUGUGAAAGCCCCCGGCUCAACUGGGGAGGGUCACGCGAUACUGAUCGACUCGAAGGCAGGAGAGGGUAGUGGAAUUCCCGGUGUAGUGGUGAAAUGCGUAGAUAUCGGGAGGAACACCAGUGGCGAAGGCGGCUAUCUGGGACGGUUUCUGACGCUAAGACGCGAAAAGCGUGGGGAGCAAACAGG
rnacentral:rRNA from 1 species